rnacentral:rRNA from 1 species
UACGUAGGGGGCAAGCGUUGUCCGGAAUCAUUGGGCGUAAAGAGCUCGUAGGCGGCUCAGUAAGUCGGGUGUGAAAACUCCAGGCUCAACCUGGAGACGCCACCCGAUACUGCUGUGGCUAGAGUCCGGUAGGGGAGCAUGGAAUUCCUGGUGUAGCGGUGAAAUGCGCAGAUAUCAGGAGGAACACCAGUGGCGAAGGCGGUGCUCUGGGCCGGAACUGACGCUGAGGAGCGAAAGCGUGGGGAGCAAACAGG